CCGUGCCAUCUCCAUGCGCCCUUAGCUCAGUUGGAUAGAGCACCGGCCUUCUAAGCCGUAGGUCACAGGUUCGAAUCCUGUAGGGCGUACC
rnacentral:tRNA from 1 species